rnacentral:rRNA from 1 species
CAGCCGCCGCGGUAAUACGAAGGGUGCAAGCGUUAAUCGGAAUUACUGGGCGUAAAGCGUGCGUAGGCGGUGAGUUAAGUCUGCUGUGAAAUCCCCGGGCUCAACCUGGGAAUGGCAGUGGAUACUGGCUCGCUAGAGUGUGUCAGAGGAUGGUGGAAUUCCCGGUGUAGCGGUGAAAUGCGUAGAGAUCGGGAGGAACACCGGUGGCGAAGGCGGCAACCUGGCUCAUUACUGACGCUGAGGCGCGAAAGCGUGGGGAGCAAACAGGAUUAGAGACCCCUGUAGUCCCUGUCUCUUAUAC